GGGGGGGGGGGGGGGGGGGGGGGGGGGGGGGGGGGGGGGCGGAGGGGGGGGGCGUGGGGGGGGUGCGCGAGGGGCGGACGGGUGAGUGAGACGGGGGUAACCUGGCCUUGACGUGGGGGUAACUUCGGGAAACUGGGGCGAGUACCGGCAAGGGGCUCCUGCUGCAGGGUGGGGGUGGGGAAGUGUCGGCGGUUGGGGAUGGACUCGCGGCGUAUCAGCUUGUUGGUGGGGUGGUGGCUUACCAAGGCUUUGACGGGUAGCCGGCCUGAGAGGGUUACCGGCCACAUUGGGACUGAGAUACGGCCCAGACUCCUACGGGAGGCAGCAGUGGGGAAUAUUGCACAAUGGGCGGAAGCCUGAUGCAGCAACGCCGCGUGCGGGAUGACGGCCUUCGGGUUGUAAACCGCUUUCGCCUGUGACGAAGCGUGAGUGACGGUAAUGGGUAAAGAAGCACCGGCUAACUACGUG
rnacentral:rRNA from 1 species